rnacentral:rRNA from 1 species
CACGUAGGGGCGAGCGUUGUCCGGAAUUACUGGGCGUAAAGGGCGCGCAGGCUGUUAUGCGAGUCUGCUGUGAAAUGUACCGGCUCAACCGGUGCCUUGCGGCGGAUACUGCAUAGCUGGAGUACUGGAGAGGGAAGUGGAAUUCCCGGUGUAGCGGUGAGAUGCGUAGAGAUAUGGAGGAACACCAGUGGCGAAGGCGGCUUCCUGGUCUGUAACUGACACUGAGGCGCGAAAGCGUGGGGAGCAAACAGGAUUAGA